AGUGAACGCUGGCGGUAGGCCUAACACAUGCAAGUCGAACGGCAGCACAGAGGAGCUUGCUCCUCGGGUGGCGAGUGGCGGACGGGUGAGGAAUACAUCGGAAUCUACCUUUUCGUGGGGGAUAACGUAGGGAAACUUACGCUAAUACCGCAUACGACCUUCGGGUGAAAGCCGGGGACCUUCGGGCCUGGCGCGGAUAGAUGAGCCGAUGUCGGAUUAGCUAGUUGGCGGGGUAAAGGCCCACCAAGGCGACGAUCCGUAGCUGGUCUGAGAGGAUGAUCAGCCACACUGGAACUGAGACACGGUCCAGACUCCUACGGGAGGCAGCAGUGGGGAAUAUUGGACAAUGGGCGCAAGCCUGAUCCAGCCAUACCGCGUGGGUGAAGAAGGCCUUCGGGUUGUAAAGCCCUUUUGUUGGGAAAGAAAUCCUGUCGGUUAAUACCCGGUAGGGAUGACGGUACCCAAAGAAUAAGCACCGGCUAACUUCGUGCCAGCCGCCGCAGUAAUAC
rnacentral:rRNA from 1 species